CGCUAUCAGAUGAGCCUAGGUCGGAUUAGCUAGUUGGUGAGGUAAUGGCUCACCAAGGCUACGAUCCGUAACUGGUCUGAGAGGAUGAUCAGUCACACUGGAACUGAGACACGGUCCAGACUCCUACGGGAGGCAGCAGUGGGGAAUAUUGGACAAUGGGCGAAAGCCUGAUCCAAACGAGGCCGCGUGUGUGAAGAAGGUCUUCGGAUUGUAAAGCAAAGGAAGUUGGAGGAAGGGCAUUAACCUAAUACGUUA
rnacentral:rRNA from 1 species